rnacentral:rRNA from 1 species
UUAAAUUUGUUCAUUAUUACAUUAAUCUAUAUGUAAAUUUGUGUAUAUUUUGAAAUUCCUAAAAGGGUUUUGAAUUAUUGAAUGAGGCAGUAGAUGGUUUUAUUGAUAUUAAAUUAGUUUAGAUUUAGUAAAUGUAUUUAAAGGUUUGGUAAAGGUUGUGCCAGCAUCCGCGGUUAUACAGCAAAAUCAAAUGAGCAUUAUUGGUUUUUAAGUAAUUAAUAUUAUUUAUGAUAUAAUAAUUAGAAUAAUUUAAGGUGAAAUUUAUAUUAUUUUGAAGUGUUAUAUGGAUAUUAAUAGUAUGAUUGUUGUGAAAUUAAAAAUAUAAACUAGGAUUAGAUACCCUAUUAUUUUUAUUGUAAAAUUUUAUACUAGAGUAUUAGUAGAUAUGAUCUUUAAACUUAAAGAAUUUGACGGUAUUAUAGUCUAUUUAGAGGAAUCUGUUAUGUAAUCGAUAAUCCACGUUGAACCUUACUUAUGUUAAUUUUUUGUAUACCGCUGUUUGAGAAGAUACUAUCAGGUAAUUUUCUGGAAAUAUUAUUAAUUAGUAUUUCAAGUCAAGGUGCAGUUAUAUAUAAGUUGAAUAAUGGAUUACAAUAAAUUUUAUUUAUAAUAUGGAUUGUUAUUGAAAAUAUAAUUUGAAGGUGGAUUUAAUUGUAAUUUUAUGAAGAUUAAUAAAAUGAUCAUAGCUCUAUAAUGUGUACACAUCGCCCGUCACUCUCGUUAUAAGACGAGAUAAGUCGUAACAAAGUAGGUGUAUCGGAAGAUGUACCUAGAAUGAAAUUAU